rnacentral:rRNA from 1 species
GGGAUGACACAGUAGGAUAAGCUAAGCACACUGUUGGUUAUGUGUGCCCAAGCAUUGAGGCAGUCAAAGUAGGCAAAUCCGCUUUGAUAAUGCUGGGAUGUGAUGGGGAGCGAAAUUUAGUAGCGAAGUAGCUGAUUUCACACUGUCAAGAAAAGUCUCUAUCGAGGUUAAAGGUACCCGUACCGCAAACCGACACAGGUGGGUGAGGAGAGUAUCCUAAGGCCAGCGAGAGAACUGUUGUUAAGGAACUCGGCAAAAUGACCCCGUAACUUAGGGAUAAGGGGUGCCACCAUCAGGUGGCCGCAGAGAAUAGGCCCAAGCGACUGUUUACCAAAAACAUAGGUUUCUGCUAAGUCGCAAGACGAUGUAUAGGAGCUGACGCCUGCCCGGUGCUGGAAGGUUAAGGGGAUCUGUUAGAG